rnacentral:rRNA from 1 species
CACGUAGGGUCCGAGCGUUGUCCGGAAUUACUGGGCGUAAAGCGUGCGCAGGCGGUUUGGUCCGUCGCUGGUGAAAGCCCCACGCUCAACGUGGGAAUGGCCAACGAGACGGCCCGACUGGAGGCAGGGAGAGGCCGGUGGAAUUCCGGGUGUAGUGGUGAAAUGCGUAGAGAUCCGGAGGAACACCAGAGGCGAAGGCGGCCGGCUGGACCUGACCUGACGCUGAGGCACGAAGGCGUGGGGAGCGAACGGG